AAAUAAAUAUUAAUAAAAAAAUUUUUAAAUUUAUUAAGUAUUUUAAUGGGGGUUAAAGUAUUUUAAUAGAAAAAAUUUAAAUUUUUAUAGUUAAUUAGUAUUGUGAGAGAAAUUUGAAAUAAUUAUAAAAUAUAAAUUUAUUAAAAAGUAAUUUUUAUUUAGUGUAUCUUGUGUAUCAGAGUUUAUUAAAAAUUUAUUUUGGUUAAAAUUUUCUCGAAUUUAAAAGAGCGAAUUAAAUAUAAAAGUUAUUGUAGUAAAAAUAUUUUUAAUAUUUAAUUUGAAAUGAAAUGUUAUUCGUUUUUAAAUAUAUCUAGUUUUUUUAGAAAAAAAUUUAAUUUUAAAUUGAUUUUUAAACAUUUAUAUUUUAUUAAUAAAUUUUUAAGAUUAAUUUUAUAUUUUAAGGGAUAAGCUUUAAAUUAAAUUAAUAUAAUAUUUAAUUUAAUAUUGAAAAUUGUAUAAUUUAUAUUGUUAAAAGAUUUUAUUUUAUUAUAAAUAAUUUCAAUUAAUAUAAAAUUUAAUUAAAAUUUAUUAUUUUAUAAGAAAAAUAUAUUUAAUAAUAUAAUUUAAGUUAUAAUGAUAAAAUUAGUAUAAAUUUUUAUUAAUAUUAUUAAAUUUAAUUUAAGGUAUUUUAAAGGAAUUCGGCAAAAUUUUAUAUUCACUUGUUUAUCAAAAACAUGUCUUUUUGAAGAUAAUUUAAAGUCUAAUCUGCCCACUGAUUAAUAAUUAAAGGGCUGCAGYAUUUUGACUGUACAAAGGUAGCAUAAUCAUUAGUCAUUUAAUUGAUGACUUGUAUGAAAGAUUGGAUGAAAUAUGAACUGUCUUUAAAUUAAAUAUAGAAUUUAAUUUUUAAGUUAAAAAGCUUAAAUAAUUUAAAAAGACGAGAAGACCCUAUAGAGUUUUAUUAUUUAUUUAAAUUAAUAUUUUUAUAAUUAGYURUAUUUAUGUUAAUUUUUAAUAAAUAAUUUUAUUGGGGUGAUAAAAAAAUUUAAUUAACUUUUUUUAAUUUAAAAACAUAAAUAAGUGAAUAUUUGAUCCAUAUUUUAUGAUUAUAAGAAAAAAUUACCUUAGGGAUAACAGCGUAAUUUUAUUUUUUAGUUCAAAUAAGAAAUAGAGUUUGCGACCUCGAUGUUGGAUUAAGAUAAAAUUUAAAUGCAGAAGUUUAAAAGUUUUGAUCUGUUCGAUCAUUAAAAUCUUACAUGAUCUGAGUUCAAACCGGUGUAAGCCAGGUUGGUUUCUAUCUUUUAAAAAUAAAAAUAUUUUAGUACGAAAGGAUUAAAUAUUURAAUUAUAUUUUUUAAUUUGAAUUUUAUUAAAUAUAUAUAUAUAUAUAUAUACAUAAAAAAAAUUAUUAUGGAUUU
rnacentral:rRNA from 1 species